CCCUUAGAUGUUCUGGGCUGCACGCGUGCUACAAUGGCGUUUCCAGCAAGUCUGCGAACCCGAGAGGGCCAGCGGAUCUUCGAAUUGGCGUCGUGAUCGGGACAGUCGGUUGCAAUUAUUUGACUCAAACGAGGAAUUCCUUGUAAUCGCGAUUCAUCAUAUCGCGCUGAAUACGUCCCUGCCCUUUGUACACACCGCCCGUCGCUCCUACCGAUUGAGCGAUCCGGUAAAUGUUUUGGAUUGGUGCCGGGGCGGCUAGCUGCCGGUCGCUACGAAAUUUUGUGAACCUUAUCGCUUAGAGGAAGGAAAAGUCGUAACA
rnacentral:rRNA from 1 species